GGAAGGAUCAUUACAAAUCAGUGUUGAUGGAGGGCGGCUGGGUGUGUUUAUUAUGUGCCCAGUCGUCCGUUUGCACGAGGUCAAGUAGAUCUACUUGAUCUCGAUGUUUACGCUUGCGUGUUUGACAGAGUAGAACAUUCACAUUAACAAGAGACAACUUUUAACAAUGGAUCUCUUGGCUCUUGCAUCGAUGAAGAACGCAGUAAAGUGCGAUAUGUAGUGCGAUUUGCAUGAAUCUGUGAGUCAUCUAAUAUUUGAACGCAACUUGCGCCUCGUCGAGGCAUGUCUGUUUGAGAGCCACAAACCAGUGCAACGAUUGCGAGUUGACCAGUGCUGAUAGUGGUGGUGGUCCAAAGGCAGCCAGUAAGAAGCGGCCGGUAUUGGCGGGCUCGAGUGCUAAGCAUUCUCGAGGGCCAGCCAGUAGUAGCCGCGGGGUGUGGUGUGUGUGGGUGGUGGGUUGAUAUUAGAGAUGUAGAUCUACUAAUCUACAUCUACAAAUCUAAUAAUCCCCCCCCUACUCUACCCCACCCCGACUCUCAUUGCCGGCCUCAAAUCAGGCAAGACUACCCGCUGAACUUAAGCAUAUCAGUAAGCGGAGGAAAAGAAACUAACAAGGAUUCCCCUAGUAACGGCGAGUGAAGCGGGAACAGCUCAAAUUUGAAAUCUCGGCGGGGUCCGUCGCGAAUUGUAGUCUAAAGAGAGGUGGUCCCGGAGGAAGCGUGGCUGCAAGUCCCUUGGAACAGGGCGCCAGAGAGGGUGAGAGCCCCGUGCCAGCCGCGCCCCCUCCCCCAGUGACCUGCUCUCGACGAGUCGAGUUGUUUGGGAAUGCAGCUCAAAGCGGGUGGUAAAUCUCAUCCAAGGCUAAAUACUGGCAAGAGACCGAUAGCGAACAAGUACCGUGAGGGAAAGAUGAAAAGCACCUUGAAAAGGGAGUUAAACAGUGCGUGAAAUUGUUAAAAGGGAAACGAUAGCGACCAGUGUUGGCGCAGGCUUUACGCCGGGGCCUCGGUCCCGGGAGCGAGCGGGCGCCGAGUCAAUGGCAGUUGCGGGGGCUGGACACGGCGGCAGGAAGGUGGGGUCGCCCUCGGGAGGACUCUUUAUAGACUGCGGGCACUGCAGCCGCUGCGACAUGGAAUUGGUGGUUGGGGACGAGCGGGGGGACUAGGGUGGAGGGGCUGGCAGACAACUUGUUGACUGUGGGUCCGUGCACGCUACCACCCCCAUCUCCCACCCAACGCCGCAUUGACGAAAUGGUCUUUAACGACCCGUCUUGAAACACGGACCAAGGAGUCUAACAAUUGUGCAAGCAUUAGAGUGGCAAACUCGGGAUGCGUAAUAAAAGUGACACCUGUGAGCGUGUAUAGAUCAUAACGAUCACAUUCCACGUGCAACAGGGACCAGACGCGACUCUUUUCACGCCUGCGUACGAGCACUAUUGUUGGGACCCGAAAGGCGGUGAACUAUGCCUGACUAGGGCGAAGCCAGAGGAAACUCUGGUGGAGGCUCGCAGCCGUUCUGACGUGCAAAUCGAUGGUCAAAGUUGGGUAUAGGGGCGAAAGACUAAUCGAACCGCCUAGUAGCUGGUUCCCUC
rnacentral:misc_RNA from 1 species